UGGGGAAUUUUGGACAAUGGGCGAAAGCCUGAUCCAGCAAUGCCGCGUGUGUGAAGAAGGCCUUCGGGUUGUAAAGCACUUUUGUCCGGAAAGAAAUCCUUGGCUCUAAUACAGUCGGGGGAUGACGGUACCGGAAGAAUAAGCACCGGCUAACUACGUGCCAGCAGCCGCGGUAAUACGUAGGGUGCAAGCGUUAAUCGGAAUUACUGGGCGUAAAGCGUGCGCAGGCGGUUUGCUAAGACCGAUGUGAAAUCCCCGGGCUCAACCUGGGAACUGCAUUGGUGACUGGCAGGCUAGAGUAUGGCAGAGGGGGGUAGAAUGUCCACGUGUAGCAGUGAAAUGCGUAGAGAUGUGGAGGAAUACCGAUGGCGAAGGCAGCCCCCUGGGCCAAUACUGACGCUCAUGCACGAAAGCGUGGGGAGCAAACAGGAUUAGAUACCCUGGUAGUCCACGCCCUAAACGAUGUCAACUAGUUGUUGGGGAUUCAUUUCCUAGUAACGUAGCUAACGCGUGAAGUUGACCGCCUGGGGAGUACGUCGCAAGAUUAAAACUUAAAUGAAUUGACGGGGUCAUAGCUG
rnacentral:rRNA from 1 species